UGUGCCAGCCGCCGCGGUAAUUCCAGCUCCAAUAGCGUAUAUUAAAGUUGUUGUGGUUAAAAAGCUCGUAGUUGAACCUUGGGCCUGGCUGGCCGGUCCGCCUCACCGCGUGUACUGGUCCGGCCGGGCCUUUCCCUCUGUGGAACCCUAUGCCCUUCACUGGGUGUAGCGGGGAAACAGGACUUUUACUUUGAAAAAAUUAGAGUGCUCCAGGCAGGCCUUUGCUCGAAUACAUUAGCAUGGAAUAAUAAAAUAGGACGUGUGGUUCUAUUUUGUUGGUUUCUAGGACCGCCAUAAUGAUUAAUAGGGACAGUCGGGGGCAUCAGUAUUCAAUUGUCAGAGGUGAAAUUCUUGGAUUUAUUGAAGACUAACUACUGCGAAAGCAUUUGCCAAGGACGUUUUCAUUGAUCAGGGACUAAAGUUGAGGGAUCGAAGACGAUUAGAUACCGUCGUAGUCUUAACCACAAACUAUGCCGACUAGCGAUCGGGCCUUGACCUUUGGUCAGGUUCAGCAGCUUAGCGAAAGUAAAGUCUUUGGGUUCUGGGGGGAGUAUGGGACGCAAGGCUGAAACUUAAAGGAAUUGACGGAAGGGCACCACCAGGAGUGGAGCCUGCGGCUUAAUUUGACUCAACACGGGGAAACUCACCAUGUCCAGACAUAAUAAGGAUUGACAGAUUGAAAGCUCUUUCUAGAUUUUAUGGGUGGUGGUGCAUGGCCGUUCUUAGUUCGUGGAGUGAUUUGUCUGGUUAAUUCCGAUAACGAACGAGACCUUAAUCUGCUAAAUAGCCAGGCCAACUUUUUAGUUGGUACUAUGGGGCCUUCGGGCUCCCCCGGCUUCUUAGAGAGACUACUGAAU
rnacentral:rRNA from 1 species